rnacentral:ribozyme from 1 species
GAGAACGGCGGGUCGCCAGACUCUGCUAACGACGACAAGAACAUCAGAAGAAGGGUUUACGAUGCGCUGAAUGUCUUGAUGGCGAUGGACAUCAUUUCCAAGGAGAAGAAAGAGAUUUCUUGGAGAGGCUUGCCCACCACCCGAGAGAACAACUUUGACAUCUUGAAGGAGG